rnacentral:rRNA from 1 species
GAUGAACGCUAGCUACAGGCUUAACACAUGCAAGUCGAGGGGCAGCAUCAUCAAAGCUUGCUUUGAUGGAUGGCGACCGGCGCACGGGUGAGUAACACGUAUCCAACCUGCCGACAACACUGGGAUAGCCUUUCGAAAGAAAGAUUAAUACCGGAUGGCAUAGUUUUCCGCAUGGGAUAAUUAUUAAAGAAUUUCGGUUGUCGAUGGGGAUGCGUUCCAUUAGGCAGUUGGCGGGGUAACGGCCACCAAACCUACGAUGGAUAGGGGUUCUGAGAGGAAGGUCCCCACAUUGGAACUGAGACACGGUCCAAACUCCUACGGGAGGCAGCAGUGAGGAAUAUUGGUCAAUGGACGAGAGUCUGAACCAGCCAAGUAGCGUGAAGG